rnacentral:lncRNA from 1 species
GUUUUCUGGUGAGGUCCCAUCCCAAACAGAAAGCCUUUUCUCUCGCUUCCUGUCUAGGAGUGUUUCAGGGACCAGCCAAAGAGAACUCUGCCAACCCAGAGCCCAAGAAUACCCCACUGCUCUAAGCUACAAUUCUGCAACUCCUCAUGUGGGUGCAAGCUUCCUUAUAGAGUCAGGCGAUUGGGCCAUCUGCCUCAGAAUUGUCUACACAGAUCAGCAGCAGCUCCUCAGGUUUUCAAGCCUGGGCAAUACAGUUGUACCUUGGAAGUCGAUCAGAAUCCGUUCCAGAAAUCCGUUCAACUUCCAGAACGUUUGACUUCCAAAAUCCGGCUUCUGAUUGGCUGCAGGAAGUGCCCAUCGUGGUAAAGGUUUCAUAAUAUUCAACAUUAUUAUUAUUAUUAUUAUUAAUAUACCGCCUUAUACCUGGAGGUCUCGGGGUGGUUCACAGAACAAGAUCAACAUAAAACACUACAGUAUAUAUAAUCAAAAUAAAAGCAACAACCCAAUAACCCCCCCCACACACACACACAAAAAGGAGGCACAUUUUAAAGGGCAUAGAAUGUAAAUCAGGUCAACCAAAGGCCUGGUUAAAAAGGAACAUUUUUGCUUGGCACCUAAAGGUGUAUAAUGAAGCUGCCAGGCAAACUUCCCUGGGGAGAGCAUUCCACAGACAGGGAGCCACUGCAGAGAAGGCCUGUUCUCGUGUUGCGACACCCCCCCCCCCAGACCUUUCAAGGAGGAGGCACAUGAAGAAGGGCCUCAGAAGAUGAACUCAGGGUCCGGGUAGGUUCAUAUGGUCCUGAGCGGUUUAAAGCUUUAUAGGGGAAAACCAGCGCUUUGAACAUGGCAAUAUAUCACGAAUCAUGAUGUAUGCGUGUGUAAAAAAAUUGUGAUAUGGGGGAAACCAUGAAGCCAGUUACCUCUCCUCUCAUUAUUCCUUCUGCCCCUGUUGCUCUGUACUAUAAAAUAACAUUUGUAACAAUAUGUUAUAGGUAAGUAAAAUUGUAUCAGUUUUAGACCCCUAAGUAGCAGGUUCCGGGGCAUUACCCCAUUCACUUCUACAUAGUUACACCCUUAUUUCAGACAUCGUGAUAUAUUGAUAUAUCAUGAUGUUUAGUUGUGGGUAUAUCCCAAUGUUGAAGGCCAUACAUCGCUCCGCUCUAACAGACAUCAUGAUAGAUAAUUUAAAACAUAGCAAGGAGGUUGCAUUCCCUCACCGCAUCUCGAGUCGGCCAUGGGAGAGGGUUAGGUCGGUGAGCAGAGGAAGAGGCUUUCAGGUCAGAGAGCGCUUUUCCAGGUACGCACACAUUUCUUUCCCCCAUCACCAACGCCUCUUGUUUUGGAAAUUAGGAACCAUUUCCCGAGACGUUUGUGGUCACUGGAGGCUCUGUGCCGAAUCCAAUUGUUUUGUUUGACUGGCAGUGGCUGGUGGCCAGAGGCAGCUGCUCCCCCUCUCCACCCCCGCAGCCAGAGGCCAACACGGAGGAAUUGCACAACACAAACUUGAUCUGUAUUUUCCACUGUUUUUUGCCUGGCAAAACAGUCUUCCUCCUCCCCCUCCCCUUUCCCCCUUUUCUCCUCCGUACAGCUGUUUUCCAUCUAUGUUCAGGAAACAUACAUCUUUUUUCUUUCCUUUUUUUUUAUAAAACCCCUCUCUCCCUCUGUUUUGUGCCUCUUGGGUCCCUCUUUAUGAGAAAAAUCUCAUCCAGGAUGUUGGGGGGUGGGGAGAUUGGCGGGGUGCGGCGGGGGCAGUCUAUGCCAUGAGGAAGUAGCUGCGAAAUAACUUUAGGUUCCUGGAGGCGAUGAUGCCAAGGGGCUGCCUCUAUCCGCAAAGGCCCAGGUGAGCCAGAGGUCACAAAAGCUCCGGUGCAGAGCAACAGUCUGUUAGGAUGCUGGAAGGCCGAUGGCAUGCAAGCGUCCACCUUCUCCCUGCUGUUUCCCCUCCAAGCUAUCUUUCAACAGCAUCCCAUCUCGAGUGGAGCAAAUGGUGUGCGUUUUCUCUCUCCUUCCCCUCUUCCCCCAAACUUUCCCAAGCUGUAAAACUCUGUGGGAAGGACAAGAGCUCAAGGCAAGACGUAAGCACUUGCGCUAUCUGCAAAGGCCUCACCUAUCUGGACUGCUUCCUCCUGAGAGGUGGUCAAGGCUGUGUAGGGAUGUGUGUGUGUGAGUCUGUCAAUGGAAGCUGGGUGUCAGAAGAUUCAGGAGAGAUAAAAGAAAGGACUUAUUCACACAGAGCUGUAAUAAACAAAAUCUGCCCUUAUUCCCUUAUGGGGGACACAAGAGCCCUUAUUGAGUCCGUUGUAGGUUCCUUAUAGAGUCCAUUGUAGGAGAAAAUAACAGAGGCCAACCAGAGAAUAUUGAGAAGCAAAGCAGAUAGUAAGCCUGAUCUUUAUUGAACUGUUGCAACAGGGUGCUCCCCUCACACGCAGCAGGAGGAGGAGGACCCAGAACCAAACUGUACCUGCCCUUACAUAAAGGUAAAGGUAAAGGGACCCCUGACCAUUAGGUCCAGUUGUGGCCGACUCUGGGGUUGCGGAGCUCAUCUCGCUUUAUUGGCCGAGGGAGCCGGUGUACAGCUUCCAGGUCAUGUGGCCAGCAUGACUAAACCGCUUCUGGCGAACCAGAGCGGCGCACAGAAACACCGUUUACCUUCCCGCCGGAGCGGUACCUAUUUAUCUACUUGCAUUUUGACAUGCUUUCGAACUGCUAGGUUGGCAGGAGCAGGGACCGAGUAAUGGGAGCUCACCCCAUGGUGGGGAUUUAAACCGCCAACCUUCUGAUCGGCAAGCCCUAGGCUCUGUGGUUUAACCCACAGUGCCACCCGCAUCCCUUACUUGCCCUUACUUUAAAGUGCCUUCCCUGGAGCUCAAGACCACCCCCCACAAACAUCAUACCUACAUCACAGAAAAGGUGGUCUGCAACAGAAAUUUGAAUGUUGUUGUUUUUCCUAUCUGUCAGUUUAUCGGAUAAUGCCUUAUCUGAUUGCGUUUCCUGGUAGUCUGGCCAUUCCUUUGAGAUGGUGAUUUCCCAAUUCCUGAGACAGCGGGAAGGUUCCCUCACCCCCUCC